rnacentral:rRNA from 1 species
GACGAACGCUGGCGGCGUGCUUAACACAUGCAAGUCGAGCGGUAAGGCCCUUUCGGGGUACGACGAGCGGCGAACGGGUAGAGUAACAACGUGGGUGGACCUCGCCCUCCAGCUCUGGGAGUAAAGCCUCGGGAAACCGGGGUACGUAAUAACCGGAUAUGACUCCAUGACGCAUGUUGUGGGGUGGAAAGCCUUGUGCGGCUGAGGA